GUCAUCAAGCUGCGCGGGGGCAUAGACGUCCGGGUCGGGCGCCGCGGGGCGGAAGACGAGGGCGGCGAGGUCGGGUUCCGGGCGCUUGGAGAAGAUGGUGCUGCGGCGGCUGCUGGCCGCCCUGCUGCACAGCCCGCAGCUGGUGGAACGUCUGUCAGAGUCGCGGCCUAUCCGACGUGCGGCGCAGCUCACGGCCUUCGCACUGCUGCAGGCCCAGCUGCGGGGCCAGGACGCGGCCCGCCGCCUGCAGGACCUCGCGGCUGGGCCCGUGGGCUCCCUGUGCCGCCGCGCUGAGCGAUUUAGAGACGCCUUCACCCAGGAGCUACGCCGCGGCCUCCGAGGCCGCUCGGGGCCACCACCAGGUAGCCAGAGGGGCCCUGGCGCAAACAUUUAAUCCUGGGCUGUGCGGGGCCGAGGCCGCUUGCUUUUCCUUCCGGGCUCUACAGUGGCAUCAAUGUGGAGGGGUCAUUCCGGGCACUGCGCGCGGCUUCGAAUCCCGACUGGGAUUGUUGGCCUGCAGACAUCCCACGCAUAAGAGCCUAGGCCAGACCGCCCGCUCCGUUGAAGUCUUGUGAUUGGACAAGACACAGUGUGGAGACAGCCCUAAGCCUAACAGAGAUGAAGGUAGGCUGGGUCCAGACACGGCACCUACGGAGAGCCACGGACCGAAGCCAGAGAGCCUUUCCUCUGCAAGUGGGACUGAAACUCUUGACAGAUGCUGCUCAAUCUGACUGGUAUAGCAGGACAGUUAAUUCCAGGGACGAUAUGGAUGAAAAGACAACCCUACAGCUGCCAAAUUCCUUUGAUUAAAUGUGUGAGCUGGUUGAUAGGCAUGAGUGUGAUACUUCUCAGGCAAGAUGUGUUAAGAAUACCGGGGACUGUAGGCCUAUGGUAAUAAUAAACACGUAUUUUAUGAAAUGAGUCUUCUGUGCUGGGACUUGCUCAUUGCACUCUAUGUGUUAUCUCACUCCUUACAACGACAUUCACAUGAGGAAGCAGAUUACUUUUUGGAUUUUUUUGUAGAGAUGGGGUGGUCUCGAACUCUUGGGCGCAAGUGAUCCUCCCGCCUCAGCCUCCCAAAGUGCUGGGAUUAUAGGCAAGAGCCACUGCGAUGGAAACAGAGGCUGCUGCUUAAGUUGCCCAAAGUCUUGCAGAGUGGGAUGUGAGCAGAGGCAUUUGACUCCAGGGCCUAAGUCCUUAACACAGCUCUGCAGCAUUUACCCUGAUACUCAACCCCUUCCUUCCCCAACCCCCCACCAUCAGGCAUUAAGACUACUGCCUAGGGGCAGGGCCUGGUGGCAGUUGUGUCUUAUCCCAGCCACUGCAGAGGCAGGAGGAUCGCAUGAGCCUGAGAUGAGACCAGCCUGGGUAGCAUAGCGAGAACCUUUCUC
rnacentral:lncRNA from 1 species